rnacentral:pre_miRNA from 1 species
GGGGGGAGUGCUGGAUCUUGGACUGUGUCACCCAGCGGCCUUGGCUCUGGGGCCUGUGCUGCUAGAAUCGUGCUCCCGGGCCUCACAGCCCCCU